rnacentral:rRNA from 1 species
CUGCACUGCAGCGCGAACUGGUUUCCUUGAGUACGCACAAAGUGGGCGGAAUUCGUGGUGUAGCGGUGAAAUGCUUAGAUAUCACGAAGAACUCCGAUUGCGAAGGCAGCUCACUGGAGCGCAACUGACGCUGAAGCUCGAAANUAAGAAUAUCGAACAGGAUUAGAUACCCUGGUAGUCCGCACGGUAAACGAUGGAUGCCCGCUGUUGGUCUGAAUAGGUCAGCGGCCAAGCGAAAGCAUUAAGCAUCCCACCUGGGGAGUACGCCGGCAACGGUGAAACUCAAAGGAAUUGACGGGGGCCCGCACAAGCGGAGGAACAUGUGGUUUAAUUCGAUGAUACGCGAGGAACCUUACCCGGGCUUGAAUUGCAGAGGAAGGAUUUGGAGACAAUGACGCCCUUCGGGGCCUCUGUGAAGGUGCUGCAUGGUUGUCGUCAGCUCGUGCCGUGAGGUGUCGGCUUAAGUGCCAUAACGAGCGCAACCCCUCUCCUUAGUUGCCAUCAGGUGAAAGUUGGCCAUUCUGGGGACACUGCCACCGUAAGGUGUGAGGAAGGUGGGGAUGAUGUCAAAUCAGCACGGCCCUUACGUCCGGGGCUACACACGUGUUACAAUGGCAGGUACAGAGAGACGGUCCCUUGCAAAAUGGAUCAAAUCCUUAAAGCCUGUCUCAGUUCGGACUGGGGUCUGCAACCCGACCCCACGAAGCUGGAUUCGC